ensembl:lncRNA
UGUUGACUCCCUCCUUCUCUGCUCCAUCAGUCGGCUGGGCUCUGGGCUGUUGACUCUCUCCUUCCCUCCUUCCUGCUCCAUCAGUCGGCUGGGCUCUGGGCUGUUGACUCUCUCCUUCCCUCCUUCCUGCUCCAUCAGUCGGCUGGGCUCUGGGCUGUUGACUCUCUCCUUCCUCCUUCUCUGCUCCAUCAGUCGGCUGGGCUCUGGGCUGUUGACUCUCUCCUUCCCUCCUUCCUGCUCCAUCAGUCGGCUGGGCUCUGGGCUGUUGACUCUCUCCUUCCCUCCUUCCUGCUCCAUCAGUCGGCUGGGCUCUGGGCUGUUGACUCUCUCCUUCCCUCCUUCCUGCUCCAUCAGUCGGCUGGGCUCUGGGCUGUUGACUCUCUCCUUCCCUCCUUCUCUGCUCCAUCAGUCGGCUGGGCUCUGGGCUGUUGACUCCCUCCUUCCCUCCUUCCUGCUCCUCGGCUGGGCUCUGGGCUGUUGACUCUCUCCUUCUCUGCUCCAUCAGUCAGCUCGGCUCUGGGCUGUUGACUCUCUCCUUCUCUGCUCCGUCAGUCAGCUCGGCUCUGGGCUGUUGACUCCCUCCUUCCCUGCUCCAUCAGUCGGCUGGGCUCUGGGCUGUUGACUCCCUCCUUCCCUCCUGUCCUUGGAGGAGGUCCAGUGUUGCCGAGUCCCAAGAAGAGAGAUACAGAGAAACCUGCUUCCAGAAAUAUAACAUAAAUAUCCACACACACACACAUACACACACACACACACACACACACACACACACACACACACACACACACACACACACACACACACACACACACACCACAAUAGUACAUUCUCUUUAUAUAAUCACUGUUCACUGCCAGGUGGUGUUAGUUACAAG